rnacentral:rRNA from 1 species
UACGAAGGGUGCAAGCGUUACUCGGAAUUACUGGGCGUAAAGCGUGCGUAGGUGGUUUCUUAAGUCCGUUGUGAAAGCCCUGGGCUCAACCUGGGAAUGGCAGUGGAUACUGGGAAGCUAGAGUGCGGUAGAGGAUGGUGGAAUUCCCGGUGUAGCGGUGAAAUGCGCAGAUAUCGGGAGGAACACCAAUGGCGAAGGCAGCUCGCUGGGACGGUACUGACGCUGAGACGCGAAAGCGUGGGGAGCGAACAGG